UUUAAAUCUAAAAAGCCGAUAAUGAUGUAUUGAAGUAUUUAAAAAAACAUAUUUUCACAAUGUGAAGAUAACUUUACUAACAUACAAUAAUAAGCAAGUUUAUUAAUGCAAUUUUAAAAUAACAUGCGAUUUAUGAGAACUACAAUUAUAGUAUUUUUCAUUGCUUCCUGGAUAUUACUGUUUAUUUACUUAAUUCUUUUUGGACGAAUAGUAAAAACAGAUUCAAAUAACCUUGUGGCAGAAAAGCUCAAAACUCUUGAAAAUGAUAUUUAUCAACAGUUUCAAUGGAACAAAAAGAUUAUUACUUCCUUAAAAAAUGCCAUGGUUACAAUUCCUAGUAUUGAAGAAAAUGUAAUUGCAGAAGAGAAGCAGAGCUCUAAAAAAACUGUAAUUGCUGUUCUUGUAAUAGCUUGUAAUAGAGUUACCGUGAGUCGAUGCUUAGACCAACUUUUAAAGCAUAGACCUAAUUCUGAUCAAUUUCCAAUCAUUGUUAGUCAGGAUUGCGGCCAUCAAGAAACAAUGGAUACUAUUAUGAAAUAUGGUUCACAAGUAACUCUUAUUCAACAGCCAGAUCAGUCAGAUAUUGAAGUUCCUCCCAAAGAGAAGAAGUUUAAGGGUUACUUU